rnacentral:lncRNA from 1 species
ACAAAUUCACAAGGAGGUUACUUGCUGAUCCUCAGUUCUUCCUGUUCAACACCCAGAUUUCCAUCAUACUACAAAUUUGUUUUCUUCCAUCUUGGUGUAAACCAAUUGGCAACUCAUCCUUUGUAUGAGAAACUCACAUUCUUCAUUGUCUUUAGUAGUUUUUCAGCUUUUAUUGGAGGAUUGCUUCUAAGUGAAAAGGAGUUAGUACAGUAAAUACCCUGCGAUUGAAGCUUGACAGUUUAAAUCCUCUAAAUAG